AAAUCAUAUCGGACUUGCAAAAUGAAAUUAAAUUGGGUAAAAGGAACCAGAAACAUGUCAAAGAAAGAAAACAAAAGAACAUUCACCAAAUAUUACACAAAAUCCCAAACUUACUUUAACUAUCAGAAACAGAAACAGUGCCAAAUUUAAUGCAAAAUCUAAUAUUUUUCCUUUCCCCUUUUCAUAUUUUAGGUUGCGAUGGCGGAUGACAAAAAGUAGGGAACAAUAAAGGCAGCUAAUAUUUGCGGUUCUUCCCAACAAGAAAGGACAAACAAAGGAGGGAAGUCGAUAUCACAUAAAAUCGAUGAACUAAACGAACUAAAAGCCUGGUUACCUAACCUUGAAAAGAGCUCUGUUCAACGUCAUGAACCUGCAUAUUAACCAAAAAUGAAAACCGCGGAAUUUAACUAUUUUGCUUCGUCGUCCGUCUGUCUGUUCGGAGUUUAUAGUAACAAAUGUCGAUUGGGAAUACCAAGCCACGCUGGUUUAGCGAUGGCAUAAAAACUGCGCCUCCCUCGAUGGAUUGAAUGGGCGAUGGUGUGGCUCGUAAUUCAAUUCUUCUUUUGGAUCUUUAUGUAAAAGAGUUAUUUCAUUGCUUUAGAUAUUAAUUUAAUUGUUUUGUUUUCAAAUUUCGUUAAAUUGUUUCCAAAUUUAAUUUCAUUAAUUUCAUUUCAUUCAAUUUAAUUUCAAAAAAAGUUUAUUUUUUCUUUUAAUUUUCAAUUUUCAUGAAAACUAUUUGUCUUAGUUAUAAGUUUCCUUUUUUAACUGUUAGCCUUUUGUUGUUAAAUUUUGAUUUUAAUCGUUUUAAGGCUUUCAAUUUUGUUUAAAAAAGUUUGUAGUUUCUAUUUUGUGUUGUUUGUUUAUGUGUUUCAAACAAAUAAGAAAUUGCAUCCACUUAGGAGGUACUAAUAAUCACAAAAACGUCUACUACAGCGUUACGUAAAAUUCUACAUAGCGUACAUAAAUAAUAAACUUCCCGACAAUUUUAUACCCUCCAACUUGAAAAGGAGGGUAUAUUAACAUUUUCAUUUUUUUUAGUAAUAAAUA